rnacentral:rRNA from 1 species
GUUUGAUCCUGGCUCAGAUUGAACGCUGGCGGCAUGCCUUACACAUGGCAAGUCGACGGCAGCGGGCCUUCGGGUGCCGGCGAGUGGCGAACGGGUGAGUAAUGCAUCGGAACGUGCCAUUGAGUGGGGGAUAACGUAGCGAAAGUUACGCUAAUACCGCAUAUUCUGUGAGCAGGAAAGCAGGGGACCGCAAGGCCUUGCGCUCUUUGAGCGGCCGAUGUCAGAUUAGCUAGUUGGUGAGGUAAAGGCUUACCAAGGCGACGAUCUGUAGCGGGUCUGAGAGGAUGAUCCGCCACACUGGAACUGAGACACGGUCCAGACUCCUACGGGAGGCAGCAGUGGGGAAUUUUGGACAAUGGGCGCAAGCCUGAUCCAGCCAUGCCGCGUGAGUGAAGAAGGCCUUCGGGUUGUAAAGCUCUUUCGGCCGGGAAGAAAUCGCAUGGGUUAAUACCCUGUGUGGAUGACGGUACCGGAAUAAGAAGCACCGGCUAACUACGUG